GCCGCCGUCGCCACCCCCGGAAGCGGCGGGUGUCACGUGGUGUGUCGGCGCUGCCAUAAACACGGGAAGAUGGCGGCCCUCACGCCGCCCGCCCGUGCUGCGUCAUGCCGCUCCCGGGCCCCCCGACCGCACAGCGCACAGAGUUCUGCAGGUUUGUGUUAAAAUCGUGCUAGCCCAGUUGGAAAUCAGGUUUGCUCCUAAGGUGCUUCAUCCUGGCAGCUUGCUGCUUUAUUUGUCUCCUCUCUUCACACAUCCACAGGGUUGGUUUGGGGGGUUUUUUUGUGUCUUUUUUGUUUUGUUUUGUUAAACUCGCCCUCAUCCAGCUGGAAAUGAGGUUUGCUGCUGUGGAAGGCAGGGUGAGAGCUGCUUGUAGGACUUGGAAAGUGCUUGACACCUCGUGGGCUGUGAUUAGGGCACAUCAGUGGUUCCUUCCCUCUCUUACUGAAGGAAUUUGAGUUCCUAUGAAACAAGUUUUUUAAAAAAAAAAAAACCAAAACAGAAUCACCAGCCCAAAGGGAGGUGGAACUGGAGUUUAAAAACCAGCCAGGCAAACUUACAAAGCUUCCAAAAAAAAAAAA